UACGGGGGGAGCAAGCGUUGUUCGGAUUUACUGGGCGUAAAGGGCGCGUAGGCGGUCAGUGCAAGUCAGUUGUGAAAUCUCCGGGCUUAACUCGGAACGGUCAACUGAUACUGCUCGACUAGAGUGCGGAAGGGGCAACUGGAAUUCUCGGUGUAGCGGUGAAAUGCGUAGAUAUCGAGAGGAACACCUGCGGCGAAGGCGGGUUGCUGGGCUGACACUGACGCUGAGGUGCGAAAGCGUGGGGAGCAAACAGG
rnacentral:rRNA from 1 species